rnacentral:lncRNA from 11 species
UCCACCGUUGUACCUACUUUCGUACUUUCGUGCCUAACCUACGUACACACGCACUUUACCGUAUGUCUGGUAUUAUGUGUUUAUUUUGUAUACACGUUCGCAUCGACGAUUCUCUAUCUGGAGAAUGGAUUUACAGGAACUAAAAAUUUUACGUUCAAGAAUUAUUAACCCUGAUUAAAACAAAAACCGAAGAAAUCGUUUCACGGUCUAGAGGUUACACGUCGAGGAAGGAAUUACCAGUAAAGACCCGAAGGAAAGGAGUGAAAGAUAUAUCAGAAUAGGAUUCAUAUUUACAAAAAAAAAAAAUUAUCACUAAAUGAAAGUAAAGAAAAGAAACUAAACCUAUGUCAAGAUAGGAAGAAUCGUACACAGGUCUUACAAAUGCGAUUCUACACCAUGGCGUACGUGACCGAUAUGUCGAAGGCGUGCCGUCUGGGACCACAGAAGCUGCAACGGCAUAUACUAAGAAGACGUACACUGAGAAACCACAGUUCCGGAAUUUAUCAGGUAAGAUAGUACCCACUUCCAGGAGACUCGAUGCAUGUUAUGUGGAUGAGAAUACAAACUCUCGGGAGUAGUACGCGUAUGCUCCUAACUGGUGCGCUUAAAAGUUUUACGUUCUUUUUACAAUGAGUUUUAGCACGAAAUGUAAAUUCAUUUUCUUUUUUCUUAAAGUUCCACUCGAGAUAGAUAGCAAUUUUAAAAAGUUUCGUUAUGUAUGUGUGAGAAAUUUUCGGUCGAAGUCUCAUUUCGAAUUAAUUUAAUUCUUUUUUUUUUCCAUCUUGAAAUCUAAUUCUUGUCUUAGAGAAAAUCGAUCGAUGUUCAACUGUUAAACGAUCAAUAGAAAUUAUCGAACAUAAUUCGGUCAGACAAACCGGUAAACCGUUACAAACCGUUAUAUACAAACUUUUUACGUUUGUUUCUUUGUCGGGACGGAAAAUUAGGUUUAUCGUACGGAUGAAUUAUAACAAACGGUGAUCAUGCUAACGUUAACAUUAUCGUUAAAGUAGUUAUGGAUAGUAAGAUCUUUAAAGCGAAGUUCUAGUUUGCGGUCAAGCAAUCGCCAUACCAGACCACCGUUUCUGUAUCACGAUAGAGGAACACUUCUAUGGAUUCAGCUAAUCGAGUUGGCAACUAUUGUGUAAGCACACACGUACACAUAAUCAUGUUACCGGCAGGCAGUCGAACCCGUUGUCGUUGUCCAAAACGACUAUAUGACUAGUAAAAUGCUACAGCACUUUUAUUACACGUACAUGCUAUGAUGUAAGUAUGAUAUAAGUAUACGAGAUUCAUGUAAGUAUAAUGUGAUAAACACUAUUUGCAAUAUAAAUAUUUGCACACUCGAGUCUAUGAUUUUAAAACAAUACAACAAUUUUGUUUAAUCGUAACAUUAUUUUUAGGUAUUUUAAAAUUGAAUCAUACCACUGAAAAUGCUAAUGGGAGAAACGUUUGAUUAGAGACCUAAAUUACAUCACUAUAUAAUGAUCACUAUACCGAUAUUCAUUCGUCAUGAUGAAUACGAUGAAUCAAGAUUUGGACUCACUAAUUUUCUCUUUGAUUAAUCACCGGCAGCUACCGGUCGCAAAAAUAUGGACUAAGAAACGAGCAGUGGAAUAUCUCGGUAUAUAUACUUCAUCAUAAGUAUUGACUAAUGAAAUAUGUAUCAAAAAAUUCUAGAUUAUUACUUGCGAAUACAUGUGUGACGCCUUAAAUUUACGUACACGUUCUGUAAAAUAUUUUUUUUCCUCUUAGCAUCGAACUCGUUCUUAUCGUAACAACUCUUUCGCAUACAAUCAAUAGAGAUUCACGUCAUACAAAUGUUUAUCCAUUGCUUUGAUUGGUAACGGAAUCCUUUCAAUUUAACCAAAACGCGUAGAUCGACGUAUAUUUGAUAGGAAAGCUGCUUUUGAUGUAAAUACGUACAUUUGAUGUACGUUUACAGGAAUCUGGAUGGGCUUAUUAUAUUCGUGUCUAUGUGGAAUAAUUUCCACUUAAUUGCACAGUUAGUUGGCAGUUUGAUUGGAAUUAGUUACGGUCUUAAUGGCCAACGUUAUAAAGUGUACGACUUAGAAAAUGAAUCAACGCUGGUUUUAUUAUUGUAUUAAUGACCGAUCAAAUUUAGUUAUUGGCCCAUAACUUUUUUAAUUGUAAAUAUUUUUCGGUAUAUCGACUUUUGGUGGACUAUCCCGUGAAGUUUCCCGCGAUGGGAAGCGUAAAAGCUUAAAAAUUAUGUGUUUCGGGGCGCUGACAAUUUUACUGGCGCGUUUUUAAAAGUUGCGUGCACACAUAGAUACCUGUAUAUACCUGUAUAUCGGUCUUAAAAAGUUAUUGGGGCGAGGAUUACGGGUGUAAAAAAGUUGAGGGCAAAUACUUUACUCUUCAAUAUAGGCAUUCUCUCAUACAGGCGUACGCACGUAACUUGCAAAAUACUCGGUCUUUCAGCAACGAAGUUACGUUUUUUCUUUCUUUUUUUUAAUGUAUCUUCUUCAUGAAAAACGUCUUACGCCUCUUAAGUUAGUUCAAUGAACAUUGAAGAGCGUAAAGCCAGACUCUUACCAUCUAAUAGG